UACGUAGGGUGCAAGCGUUGUUCGGAAUCAUUGGGCGUAAAGCGCUUGUAGGCGGCCUGUCAAGUCGCGUGUGAAAUCCCUUGGCUUAACCAAGGAAGUGCGCGCGAAACUGGCGGGCUUGAGUGCCGGAGAGGGUCGCGGAAUUCCCGGUGUAGAGGUGAAAUUCGUAGAUAUCGGGAGGAACACCAGUGGCGAAGGCGGCGACCUGGACGGACACUGACGCUGAGACGCGAAAGCGUGGGGAGCAAACAGG
rnacentral:rRNA from 1 species